rnacentral:rRNA from 1 species
UACGGAGGGGGCUAGCGUUGUUCGGAAUUACUGGGCGUAAAGCGCACGUAGGCGGCUUUGCAAGUCAGAGGUGAAAGCCCGGGGCUCAACCCCGGAAUUGCCUUUGAGACUGCAUCGCUAGAAUUGUGGAGAGGUAAGUGGAAUUCCGAGUGUAGAGGUGAAAUUCGUAGAUAUUCGGAAGAACACCAGUGGCGAAGGCGACUACCUGGCCUGUUCUUGACGCUGAGGCGCGAAAGCUAGGGGAGCAAACGGG